CUACGGGUCGCAGCAGUAAGGAAUAUUGUGCAAUGGAGGCAACUCUGACGCAGCCAUGCCGCGUGCAGGAAGAAGGCCUUAUGGGUCGUAAACUGCUUUUAUUUAGGAAUAAACCCCCGAACGUGUUCGGGGCUGAAGGUACUAAACGAAUAAGCACCGGCUAACUCCGUGCCAGCAGCCGCGGUAAUACGGAGGGUGCAAGCGUUAUCCGGAUUUAUUGGGUUUAAAGGGUGCGCAGGCGGGCUAUUAAGUCAGUGGUGAAAUCCCGGGGCUCAACUCCGGAACUGCCAUUGAUACUGAUAGUCUUGAGUUUGGUUGAAGUGGGCGGAAUGUAGCAUGUAGCGGUGAAAUGCAUAGAUAUGCUACAGAACACCAAUCGCGAAGGCAGCUCACUAAGCCAAAACUGACGCUCAUGCACGAAAGCGUGGGGAUCAAACAGGAUUAGAUACCCGGGUAGUC
rnacentral:rRNA from 1 species